rnacentral:misc_RNA from 1 species
UCCGUGUUAACCACGGCAGUCUCCUUAGAGAGCCCAACUUAAUGAUGGCAACUAAGGACAAGGGUUGCGCUCGUUGCGGGACUUAACCCAACAUGUCACCACACGAGCUGACGACAGCCAUGCAGCACCUGUCUCCCCGUUGUAUUGCUACAAAGAUCGUAUUUCUACGACUGUCGAGGGAUGUCAAACCCAGGUAAGGUUCUUCGCGUUGCUUCGAAUUAAACCACAUGAUCCACCGCUUGUGCGGGCCCCCGUCAAUUCCUUUGAGUUUUAGUCUUGCGACCGUACUUCCCAGGCGGGGUACUUAUCGCGUUAGCUCCGGUCCGGCAGGGGUCAAUACCCACCUGACCUAGUACCCAUCGUUUACAGCGUGGACUAC